GUCCUAGCCGUAAACGGUGCACAUUUGCUGUGAGAGGAUUCGACCCCUUUCGUGGCGUAGCAAACGCGUUAAAUGUGCCGCCUGGGAAGUACGGUCGCAAGAUUAAAACUCAAAGAAAUUGACGGGGCCUGCACAAGCGGUGGAGUAUGUGGCUUAAUUCGAUGCAACGCGAAGAACCUUACCUGGCCUUGACAUGUAGAUAGUAGAAGCCCCGAAAGGGUGACGAGGUAGCAAUACCAGUCUACACAGGUGCUGCAUGGCUGUCGU
rnacentral:rRNA from 1 species